rnacentral:lncRNA from 1 species
CUGCUCUUCUGAUUGUUUUCUGUCAGCUCAGAGAGAGUAACUUGUGGUGUCCACAUUGAGCCCCCAGUUUAUGGCAUUAUUGCUCAGGGACUGUAAACAGGGCUUAGAUAAAUAUCAUUCAAAUCAUGGAGU